CCUACGGGAGGCAGCAGUGAGGAAUAUUGGUCAAUGGACGAGAGUCUGAACCAGCCAAGUAGCGUGAAGGAUGACGGCACUAUGGGUUGUAAACUUCUGUUAUAUGGGAAUAAAAUGUUCCACGUGUGGGAUUUUGUAUGUACCAUAUGAAUAAGGAUCGGCUAACUCCGUGCCAGCAGCCGCGGUAAUACGGAGGAGCCGAGCGUUAGCCGGAUUUAUUGGGUGUAACGGGAGCGUAGGUGGCUUGUUAAGUCAGUUGUGAAAGUUUGCGGCUCAACCGUAAAAUUGCAGUUGAAACUGGCAGUCUUGCGUACAGUCGAGGUUGGCGGACUUCGUGGUGUAGCGGU
rnacentral:rRNA from 1 species